rnacentral:rRNA from 1 species
AACGAACGCUGGCGGCAUGCCUAACACAUGCAAGUCGAACGAGACCUUCGGGUCUAGUGGCGCACGGGUGCGUAACGCGUGGGAACCUGCCCUUAGGUUCGGAAUAACUCCCCGAAAGGGGUGCUAAUACCGGAUAAUGUCUUCGGACCAAAGAUUUAUCGCGUUUGGAUGGGCCCGCGUUGGAUUAGCUAGUUGGUAGGGUAAAAGCCUACCAAGGCGACGAUCCAUAGCUGGUCUGAGAGGAUGCUCAGCCACACUGGGACUGAGACACGGCCCAGACUCCUACGGGAGGCAGCAGUGUGGAAUAUUGGACAAUGGGCGAAAGCCUGAUCCAGCAAUGCCGCGUAAGUGAGGAAGGCCGUAGUGUUGUAAAUCUCUUUGACCCGGGAUGAUAAUGACAGUACCGGGAGAAUAAGCUCCGGCUAACUCCGUG